AUUAGGUUGAAAGGUCAAUUACUGUUUGAAGAAAAGAUGAACAAUAUCACAAUUGAUUUUCUCUUCUUUUACAAUUACAAUCUUUUAAUUGUUGUUCACCAUUUUCUUCACUUUCUCUCUCUUUCAUUUGAUUCCUUUUACAUGUGUUACUUGUUAUUGGAAACAAAUUGUAAACCUCUGUAACUUGUCAAUGUUUUAAUUGUGGACAAACAUUGACAAUUCUAAUUAAUUGUGUGUCACCUAAUCACUAAUCGUGCAUCUAGAGAUGUCAAAUUAAUUGGUUAAUCGGUUUAGAUUACAACAGCAAUUAAAGAUGAAGUAGUUUUGGUUUUUUUGGAUCAAAGUUACACUCGGAUUACAACAAGAGGGAUAAUCACCAACAAGGAAAAUCUCUCAAUGUUAUUGAUAACAAAACCUCGUUGGAACAACAAUCAGUCAAGUUAACAUGAACGCACCGAAGACACAAUUAAAACUCUGUUAAUAUGAUCAACUGAUUUGGAUCCUGAUUUUACCCAUUGGACAUCCAACAAUUAGCUUCGAUGAUCAAUCAACUCAUCCAAUUCACAAGAACGUGUUGAUUGUUAGCUUUGACAUUUCUACUUGUUCUUAAUCAACUUUCAAACAAUUUGGACGAAAACUUUUAAUUCAUUAAUCAUUUGUUUUUUAAUUGUUCCAAAUUUCUGAUUCUCAAAUCAUCAAAUUGAUUGUUUCUUUCAGUGAUCAAUUUCUAGUCCAAUGUUCAUUGCCUUACAAUUUACUAAUUAUAGAUUUGAUUAGGUUGUUGAUUUGUUUCAAGAAACAUCUCAUGAUUGAUUUAAAUUGUUUCAACAGAAAGAGGGAAAUUAACAAGCAAUUGAUUAAUUAUUUAAAGGUAAAAGGUUGAUUAAAUCAGUUUAACUAAUUAAUCUAACCUUGAUUUGAUUAGGAAACUUUUCCCAAAUGAUUGUUAUAAAUAAUCAAUGUACGAGUUUAUUAAUUUAUUUUCAUUGUUUAUUAUUGAUUAACUAACUAAUCAAACUAAUCAACUUACUUACCCGAUAAAAAAACUAAUACAUUCCCAAUUAGAUCCUAUGAUCUUACCUGAUUAACAAAUUAACUUUCAUAUUUACCACUAACAAUUAACUUUUAUUUAAUAAUAAUCGAACUAAAUUAACCUUUCAAUUCCGAUUUAAAAUUAAUUAUCUCAUUAUUGAUAAUUUAAUUAAUAUAAGUAAAUUAAUCAAUCCAUGGCCAGAUUAAUUGUUAUGAAAUGAAACAAUAAAAGUAAAACAAUCAGUUAUCAACUGAUUGUUUGUUGAUUGUCAACUCAA